AUCCUUUUCCAGUUCACACGUAUGAUGAUUGGGUCUUCACACGUUUGUGUGAUAUGUUCCUCCCUGGAUUCUUGUUACGACGCCGGCACAUUAGCCGUCUGACA
ensembl:snoRNA